rnacentral:rRNA from 1 species
UACGUAGGGCGCGAGCGUUGUCCGGAAUUAUUGGGCGUAAAGCGCGUGUAGGCGGCAUGGCAAGUCGGGUGUGAAAGCCCUCAGCUUAACUGAGGAAGUGCGCCCGAAACUGCCGUGCUUGAGUGCCGGAGAGGGUGGCGGAAUUCCCCAAGUAGAGGUGAAAUUCGUAGAUAUGGGGAGGAACACCGGUGGCGAAGGCGGCCACCUGGACGGUAACUGACGCUGAGACGCGAAAGCGUGGGGAGCAAACAGG